rnacentral:rRNA from 1 species
UGAGGAAUAUUGGGCAAUGCCCGCAAGGGUGACCCAGCAACGCCGCGUGGAGGAUGAAUGUCGUAAGAUUGUAAACUCCUGUUAGAGGGGAAGAAUAGUACCGGUUGGACCGGUAUAUGACUGUACCCUCAGAGAAAGCCCCGGCUAACCACGUGCCAGCAGCCGCGGUAAUACGUAGGGGGCAAGCGUUGUCCGGAUUUACUGGGUGUAAAGGGCGCGCAGGCGGGAUAAAAAGUCAGUGGUGAAAUCCUACAGCUUAACUGUAGAACUGCCUUUGAUACUUUUAUUCUUGAGUUCGGGAGAGAGAGACGGAAUUCCAGGUGUAGUGGUGAAAUACGUAGAUAUCUGGAAGAACACCAGUUGCGAAGGCGGUCUCUUGGUCCGACACUGACGCUGAGGCGCGAAAGCGUGGGGAGCAAACA